AGCUUCGGCUCCUGAGUAAAGUGGCGAACGGGUGAGUAACACGUAAGUAACCUACCCCGGACUCUGGGAUAACCUUCCGAAAGGAGGGCUAAGACCGGAUAGGUCCCUCUGGCACAAGUCAGGGGGGGAAAACGGGCCUCUGCAUGCAAGCUCGUGGUCCGGGAUGGGCUUGCGGCCCAUUAGCUAGUUGGUAGGGUAAUGGCCUACCAAGGCGACGAUGGGUAGCUGGUCUGAGAGGAUGAUCAGCCACACUGGCACUGAGACACGGGCCAGACUCCUACGGGAGGCAGCAGUGGGGAAUUUUGCGCAAUGGGCGAAAGCCUGACGCAGUAACGCCGCGUGGAGGACGAAGGCCUUCGGGUCGUAAACUCCUGUCGGGGGGGAAGAAGGGAGGCCAUGCGAACAGUGUGGUCUCUCGGACGGUACCCCCAAAGGAAGCCCCGGCUAAUUCCGUGCCAGCAGCCGCGGUAA
rnacentral:rRNA from 1 species